rnacentral:rRNA from 1 species
UAAUACGUAGGUGGCAAGCGUUGUCCGGAUUUACUGGGCGUAAAGAGCGCGCAGGCGGUCGAGUAAGUCGAAUGUGAAAGCCCCCGGCUCAACUGGGGAGGGUCAUUCGAUACUGAUCGACUCGAAGGCAGGAGAGGGUAGUGGAAUUCCCGGUGUAGUGGUGAAAUGCGUAGAUAUCGGGAGGAACACC